rnacentral:other from 1 species
AGGCGUCUGCAGUGUUCCCUGGGCUUUAUAUUCCUUGUACCAAUGCUUAAAUAGCUCGGGCUAGGAACAUCGCCAACUGAGCGUGAGCGUCUCGCGUCAGAUGAACCCAACGGCUGGCUGACCUUGCCCACCUGAACCCCGGUUCAGGAUGCGGGCCCGGGGCACUGCAGGCACCUU